CAGAGUUUAUGCCCUCGCGGGUAGAUCUCCCACCCUUGAAUAUUAUACCUUUGUUGCUUUGGCGGGCCGCUUCGGCUACCGGCUUUGGCUGGUGAGUGCCUGCCAGAGGACCCAAAAUUCUGAAUUAUAGUGUUGUCUGAGUACUAUAUAAUAGUUA
rnacentral:misc_RNA from 1 species